CACGUAGGGUGCGAGCGUUGUCCGGAAUUAUUGGGCGUAAAGAGCUCGUAGGCGGUGUGUCGCGUCGGCCGUGAAAACCUGCAGCUUAACUGUGGGCGUGCGGUCGAUACGGGCAUCACUGGAGUUCGGCAGGGGAGACUGGAAUUCCUGGUGUAGCGGUGAAAUGCGCAGAUAUCAGGAGGAACACCAAUGGCGAAGGCAGAUCUCUGGGCCGUAACUGACGCUGAGGAGCGAAAGCAUGGGGGAGCGAACAGG
rnacentral:rRNA from 1 species